rnacentral:rRNA from 1 species
GACGAACGCUGGCGGCGUGCCUAAUACAUGCAAGUCGAGCGGACUGAAUGGGAGCUUGCUCUUGUUCGGUCAGCGGCGGACGGGUGAGUAACACGUGGGCAACCUGCCCGCAAGACCGGGAUAACUCCGGGAAACCGGAGCUAAUACCGGAUAACACCGAAGACCGCAUGGUCUUUGGUUGAAAGGCGGCGCAAGCUGCCACUUGCGGAUGGGCCCGCGGCGCAUUAGCUAGUUGGUGAGGUAACGGCUCACCAAGGCGACGAUGCGUAGCCGGCCUGAGAGGGGGACCGGCCACACUGGGACUGAGACACGGCCCAGACUCCUACGGGAGGCAGCAGUAGGGAAUCUUCCGCAAUGGGCGAAAGCCUGACGGAGCGACGCCGCGUGAGCGAAGAAGGCCGUCGGGUCGUAAAGCUCUGUUGUGAGGGACGAAGGAGCGCCGUUUGAAGAAGGCGGCGCGGUGACGGUACCUCACGAGGAAGCCCCGGCUAACUACGUG